AGCGUCUGACGCGUGACGCGAGUGUUCGCUUGUAUUAUUAACUUUUGUCUCGCGCGCUUCCGACUGCAUAAUGCUCGCUGAAUCAGUUUUUCUAAAUAUCAAGAGAUUGUGGCGAAAUGCUUUUCCGCUUAUACGGACAGUCAGACGGACGGAUUGGCGAAUGGAUGGACGAAGGGCCAAACGGCCGCACAGACGCUUGGACAGACGGAAGGACAGACAGAGAGAAUAACGGAUGCACUCGACGGACGAAUAGACGAAGAGACAAGCGGACACACUCGACGGAUGAAUAGACGGAAGGAUAGACUGGGAGAGGAAGUGAUACACUCGUCGGACGGAUAGACGAAGGAAGUGAUGAACGAAUGAAUGGAUAGACGAAAGUACAACAGAAGAAGAGACGGAAGGACAGACGGAAGGGCGAACAUCGCACACAACCAA